rnacentral:rRNA from 1 species
UACGUAUGGGGCGAGCGUUGUUCGGAAUUAUUGGGUGUAAAGGGCGUCUAGGCGGGAGAUUAAGUUAGAUGUGAAAGGCGUGGGCUUAACCCACGAAUUGCAUCUAAAACUGGUUUUCUUGAGUUCGGGAGAGGAGAGCGGAAUUCUUGGUGUAGCGGUGAAAUGCGUAGAUAUCAAGAAGAACACCAGUAGCGAAGGCGGCUCUCUGGCCUAGAACUGACGCUGAAGCGCGAAAGCGUGGGUAGCGAACGGGAUUAGAUACCCCCGUAGUCCCUGAG